ACGGAAGGCAGCAGUGAGGAAUAUUGGUCAAUGGACGGAAGUCUGAACCAGCCAAGUCGCGUGAAGGAUGAAGGUAUUAUGUAUUGUAAACUUCUUUAGCAGUGGAGUAAUAAGGGGAUCGAGAUCCCUGAUGCAAGUACACUGAGAAUAAGGAUCGGCUAACUCCGUGCCAGCGGCCGCGGUAAUACGGAGGAUCCGAGCGUUAUCCGGAUUUAUUGGGUUUAAAGGGUGCGCAGGCGGCUUUUUAAGUCAGUGGUUAAAUCGUGACGCUCAACGUCAUCACGCCAUUGAUACUGGAGAGCUUGAUUGCGGUCGAGGUUUGCGGAAUUCGUUGUGUAGCGGUGAAAUGCAUAGAUAUGACGAAGAACACCGAUUGCGUAGGCAGCAGACCAGGCCGUAAAUGACGCUCAUGCACGAAAGUGCGGGGAUCGAACAGGAUUAGAUACCCUGGUA
rnacentral:rRNA from 1 species